rnacentral:rRNA from 1 species
AUUGAACGCUGGCGGCAUGCCUUACACAUGCAAGUCGAACGGCAGCGGGGGAGAAGCUUGCUUUUCCUGCCGGCGAGUGGCGAACGGGUGAGUAAUACAUCGGAACGUGCCCUGUAGUGGGGGAUAACUAGUCGAAAGAUUAGCUAAUACCGCAUACGACCUGAGGGUGAAAGUGGGGGACCGCAAGGCCUCAUGCUAUAGGAGCGGCCGAUGUCUGAUUAGCUAGUUGGUGGGGUAAAGGCCUACCAAGGCGACGAUCAGUAGCUGGUCUGAGAGGACGAUCAGCCCCACUGGGACUGAGACACGGCCCAGACUCCUACGGGAGGAAGCAGUGGGGAAUUUUGGACAAUGGGCGAAAGCCUGAUCCAGCAAUGCCGCGUGUGUGAAGAAGGCCUUCGGGUUGUAAAGCACUUUUGUCCGGAAAGAAAUGGCUCUGGUUAAUACCUGGGGUCGAUGACGGUACCGGAAGAAUAAGGACCGGCUAACUACGUGCCAGCCGCCGCAGUAA